CAAAACCUAAAUGUCUCAUUCUUCUCCUUCACGCCGCUUUGUUAUACUCAUACGCUCUUUGUGAUAUAUCAAUCUCUGCAUCAACUUCGAAUUCAUCAUCCUAAUCGCUACAUCUUCUUCUUCAAUCCCCAAUUACCAGAAUUACUGAGUAGAUCAAUCGCUAUUUGUAAUUGAAACCCUAACUAUCAAAAAGUGAUUCUGAUUCCAUCAAUCUUGCCUAAAAUCUUAUGUGUUCUUCGAUCUAAACAGGUAGACAUGGAGGACACAUUUAAUCACUAUCUGAGAUAACGUAGCUGAGUGAAGCAUCUUUGUAGAUUGCAGCCUUGCGUGAACUGGAUGAAGAUGUAUAUGAGGAACCAAUAGUGGACAUUGAUGAUGUUGACAAGAAUUAUCACCUUGCAGUGGUGGAAGAGAUGUUUCUCAUCCUGUAAACAUUAAUCAACCAACCUCCAUGCAGUCUGAAUAAUCUCACUAAACCAGUAGGUGUGGGGUAUGAAAUUUAACAUAAAUCGGUCGCCACAGGUUGCGAACCCGUUCUCUUUUACACCAUUCUACUUUUGGUGCAGUGUUUUCUUUUAUUCUUAACACGUGCCUUUGGUCUUAGAGCUCAUGUGUUCAGUUUUUGUUGUUUAUGUUUUUAGGUUUGUGGCAUUGUUAACUUAAUUUUUCACUGUUCGUUAGGUGAUGCAAGUGAUUUGUGGAUUGUUAAUAUAGGUACACGCUGUCACGAGCUUAAGGUAGUUGAUUGCAUUUUUCGAUUACCUGUAUAAGAUUGAGAAUGGCGAUGGUUUUAAUAAUAAUGUGCAUCAAUCUGUUGAUCUGUUGAGGUUUCACAUGCAGGGAUCAAAAGGUCUUUAAUUCCGCUGUUAUAAUACUUCUAAUAUUCUUGAUGUUAAUAUGUUAUGUACAAUUGGAAAUCUGAGUUUGUUGUUUGUUACUGUUAUUUUAACAAUACCCUUUUAAUUAAUGUUAACUUUGUGUUUUAGUUUGCUCAAUUUUUUGUAUUGUAUAGGUCAAGGUUAUUACAGCAGUUCAUUCAGACAUAAGAUCAUUCAAACAAAUUCCUUGGAAGCAAUUGUCAACUGGAAAUUGGAAGAAUAUAUGCAAAAGUGAAUCGAUUCUUUCAUGUAUGAACAUUGAUACUCUCCGAAGUAUGGUAUGCACAACCGGUAACAAAGAGGCUGCCCAAUUCUAGCUUGACAAUUGGACGAAUAUAGGUCCUCUGUUUCUGUCAUUUCUAAAGACCUGCAAAGUUGCAGAUAUGCUAUUAUUAAACCGCAAUUCAAAGGAAUGGCGGUAGAAUUUACACAAUGUUUGGAAGUCAUUAACUCAACCACCUUUAUGACUGAAAAAGACAAAUGGUGCUGGUCAAGGGAUGCGUCUGGGACGUUCUCGACACUGGGGCUGGGAAGAGAGAUGGCGAGAAGCUCGGGUACGCAGGAAGAAUAUAAGCAUGUAUGGUUGAAUUGGGCAUCAAUAAAGAUAAAUUUCUUUGUCUAACGGGUGGCGAAUGACAUGAUCCCGACAAGGUUAGUAAUAAGGUUUGUAAGAAACUUAGAAUUUAACAUUUAUUCAAAGGAAAACCAAAUAACUUUGCCAUAGAUUCGAAUGUAUUGAUGGAAGGAUGACCAAGCCAAUCGUGAAAAUUAGAGGUUGUGACCAUGUUGACUUGGGAAACGGAUGGAGCCGGUGCGUAAUACACAUCAUUGUUGUUCACCCCCCGAAGAAGAGGCGCCCCUGUGAUUAUGAAAUGAACAAAAAAAUAAGAAGGAACAAAUUCACAGAAACUUAGUUAGUUUUGCAUAGUUUAGCAACCGAAACUAGAUCGCCCCCAUCUCUUCUUCUGUAGCGAAUGUUGUUCCACCGCUGUGCUAUUGCAAACCACGUCCGUCAAUGACCACAUAAAGGAACUCACUCACACAGUUAACUCUACAGUCAAAGGGUGAGUUGAGGAAGCUGCUUAAAGUGGAGAAUCCUUAUAAUAAGUCUACUGCUGUUGUUCGGAAACCUGGUGGGGUGAAAUUGAAAGCCAUGUCUGCUUCUACGACUAUGAUGAUGAUUAGUAGGUACAAGCAUGAUAGUUUUGAGUCAAACCCGGUUCAUAUGGACAACCUCAAAUCGAUUAGGGUUUUGAGAGAUGUACUUCGAAUGAAGGGUCACUGUAUUCUCUGAUCUAAUCGUUACUUCAUUUUGUUUCCUUCGUUGACUUUUUUUACCGACCUAAAAUUGAUUAUAUCAUCCUUUAUUAUUUUAAAAAGUCACAAAAUAAUGUUUAUACAGUAAACCAUCGUGUUUUUUUUUUCCAGUGACUUUUGAAAAUAGUUAACAUAUAAUGAAAGUUAAUAGAACUACUGACGAUGAUAGUCCAGUAUGUUUCUUCAAAUAAUGCUUAUUUGUGUAUUUUCAGUUUUUGUUUAGUAUAUGCAUUGUAUACUUUUGGGGUGUAGUAUGUAUACACUUAGGUGUUCGAUAUUUUGAUUUGGAGACAAUUGGGCCUU